rnacentral:misc_RNA from 1 species
GAGUUCAUGCCCUUCGGGGUAGAUCUCCCACCCUUUGUAUACCAUACCUCUGUUGCUUUGGCGGGCCGCCUAGCUACUGGCUUCGGCUGGUAAGUGCCCGCCAGAGGACCCAAACUCUAAUGUUUCUUAUUGUAACUUCUGAGUAAAACAAACAAAUAAAUCAAAACUUUCAACAACGGAUCUCUUGGUUCU